GGUGUCUCAUAUGCCAUUAUUAUUUUAGUUAUUUAUUUUUAAGUACAUACAAUUUUGGACUGCUCGACUAAGAAAAUCUUGGUCGACCAACCGCCUAUCGACCAAACAACCGACCAGUCGACUAAAUGGGGUCAGCCCUAACAUCAACAAACACUCCUAGUCUUUUUUGUCUUGUAAUUUCACAUUUGGAAGGUGCAUUGAUACAAUUAGCUAGCUAACUAGAUAGUAUGGUAAUAUAUUUUCUAUCACAGCCAGCUAGUAAGUUAUGAUGCACUUAAGUUACUAGAGGGGAUCACUAUGGGCAUUAUCUGAAAGCAUGUCAUCAUGCUAUAUAUUGUACAUGUACAAUAGAACAUUUUGUUUUGCAUUUGUUUAUUUAUUUUGCCCAGCUCUCAAAUUGUGUGCUAUUGUCUGUAUGUGUGUGUGCGCAUGCUUCUGUCCAUCUGCUUGCCUGUCUGUCUUUCAGUAUGUCUGUUUAGGAGUUUCAGAUGUGGAUGGAGAAUAGUGGUGGUGGUCAACACUGGAGGGCAUUUUCACUGGCCACAUGUAGGAGCUCAUACUCACAAAGUUAAUCUACAACAGCUGAUCUAUACCUAUCAUCCAGUAUUGCCAUCUGCAGGGUUAGCUCCAGGUUGUUCAGGCUGAUGACCUGUCUCCAUAGCUGAGAGAAACCGAAGUGGAAUAUCACUUUGUCCCCAAUACUACUACUGUGUCUAACUGUACUGAUGAGGAAGAGGGCAGACUUAUCCAUUGUUGCUAAACUGUGUUCAGUCAAAUGUACAUUGCCACUUUGUUAACAGAAACUGGUCACAUGUUCAAUAAGGUAUUCUGCAAAAAGAAUUACAAUAUGAAAAUGUUCUUGCUCAUCAGUGAAGUACAAUUAUCAAGGAAACCUUGUUGAACACUGUAAAUUGUAACAUGUUUCUUGAACACAAGUCAUAAGGCCAUAACUGUUACCUGUAGGACAAAAUGUCUCAAUCACAGGUCACUAAUAAAUGUGUUAAUUGUACAGACUGAUUGCAAAUGGCAUGGGCAUGACAAUUCAAUUAAUUAAUUAAACACUUAUCAGCUAUUAUGCCUCUCAAUUUCCAGUCGACAUUGGCAAGGAAAAAGUAAAUAUGAAGUAUAGCUAUACUGAUGGCUAGCAGCUUUGACAGUAGAGUCAAGCAACAGCUUUACUGUUUCAGAAAAUAUGCUGUCACAGUGCUGGAGGAGCAGAGCAGGCAGGUGACCUUCCUAUAUCCCGAUGAUGCACACUGGCAGAAAAGACAACCAGCAGUAUUUGUAAAGACUGUCUGUCUCACCAAGGACGAACUCAAAGACUGUAAAGGCCAAAGGGGUCCUUCUCCCGCUCUCACACACACAGUGUGCCCAAAAACGAAACGAAGUGCAGCUAGUUUUCAGUCUUUC